GCACCAUUAGAUCAAUUGGAUAGAUCGUUUGACUACGGAUCAAAAGGUUAGGGGUUCGAAUCCUCUAUGGUGCGCCA
rnacentral:tRNA from 1 species